CGCGCACAGCCCCGCGGAUCGAUCGGUGGCAGCGGCCGCCGCCGCCGCGAUGCCGGACGAGCAGCGGCUUUUGUGGGAGCCGUUGGCUGGUCGCCUGGUCCGCGACGCCCUGGCCGGCGCACGGACGCAGCUGAGGGCCGAGGCCCACCUCGCGGCGCGUCUGGUGGCCGCCGCGCUGUCCGCGGCCCUCGGACCUGCCCCGGCGGCUUCCCCGCUCCCGGCGGCCGAGCGACAGCCGCAGGACGCGGCGGAGGCGUCGCCGCCGACUCGCAGGCACCAAAGGACGUCUGCGGCGCCCCCGUGGAGCUUGUUGCCAGCCUGCUGCGCGGUCGUCUAGAGAGGACCAAUAUGGCGGCCCACGUUUCGUCGUCCUCGCUUGUGUUCCCGGCUGCUGUUUCCGAAGCCGCUGCUGUCGCUGUGCCUUCCUAGCGUCCGCUCCUCAAAGAUCCCAGGGUCGUCGUCACCGCCCAUCUCGGGCACCAUCCCCGCACUUUAGCCGAGCCUGCACAACAGACCUGUCACCGUGGAUACGUCACCGCCGCGGCAGCAGCAGGACCCGUGGUGCACCGCGCGCCCUGAUGCAAGAUUCCAAGCCACGCCGCUCCGCGAGCAGACGACGGCGCGCAACGCUCGAGCGCUGGCUUCCGAGACGACAGGCGCCGCCUCGCGGCAUGCAGCGAACGUGCGGGAAACAAAGGCGCCCAUUGAUGCUUCGAUGUGUGCAAGGCUCCCGAAAAUUAAUUUGGAUAGCGCAUAAAAAGUAUACAGACGCUUUGCGGUGAUGCGUACGGAUUGGCUAUAGCCAUCCGGGGCACUUAUGACCCCACACUUUCUUCUGACUAAUGUCUAUACAUACUUUCUGCAAACAACGUAUUCGAAGCACGGACCACAAUAGACCAAAUGAUAUGUAUUUAACGACUUCUCUCUAUAGGCAGCAUGUGUAGUUAGUUAUUCUCUAAAUCAAAAGGACUAGGACACAUAACAAGCCAGAGCUGCCUAUAUGAUGUCUACAGACAAUCUACAUUCUAUAGACUAAGUUUAUUUUUAUAUAGGCCAGGUGAAACGCCUCAUUAAUAUUCGAGUCAAUGCGUAUAGGUUUAACGUUUCUUUAGGAGAAAAAAAAAAGAAUGCAGCUGAUAUUGCGUUUAAUGCAGGUAUCUCUUAAUUCACAUAAAGUACAGGAGCGUUUCAAUACUGAUCAGGCGUUGCCUCCAUAUGUGGACGAUUUAUUAAUCCUCUUCGUUGGAAACCUUUUGCAAACACAAUUGUACAAACGUCGAGAGCUGUCUCUUCGACAAGAAACCGCGCUCCUAGAAUUGGACAUUUUAUCCCCGAGGUUGCCGGCACUUUAAGAAAAGGGUUAUGCGGGAGACCGAGCUAAUGGAAGGAGCGACUGCCUCGUUACAUUUCCGCUCCGGUCUUGUUGAUGCAUGACAGUGUCGAGCAACAGACCGUUCCCGAAAUGUUAUGUGAACCACUGCUCUUGCGUUGCGUCGCCCUGUUGAGGGCAACGAUGUGUUGUGCGACGUGCUCGCGGAGUCGGCGACUGCCGUUCUGCUGCCCGUGUAAAUAAAUGUAAAUAGAACUC
rnacentral:lncRNA from 1 species